ACCUAAUAGAUACCCAGGUAGUCCACGCCCUAAACGAUGCGAACUGGAUGUUGGGUACAUUACGGUACUCAGUGUCGAAAGCUAAACGCGUUAAGUUCGCCGCCUGGGGAGUACGGUCGCAAGACUGAAACUCAAAGGAAUUGACGGGGGCCCGCACAAGCGGUGGAGUAUGUGGUUUAAUUCGAUGCAACGCGAAGAACCUUACCUGGCCUUGACAUCUGUCGAAUCCUGCAGAGAUGCGGGAGUGCCGCAAGGAACGACAAGACAGGUGCUGCAUGGCUGUCGUCAGCUCGUGUCGUGAGAUGUUGGGUUAAGUCCCGCAACGAGCGCAACCCUUGUCCCUAGUUGCCAACACGUAAUGGUGGGAACUCUAGGGAGACUGCCGGUGACAAACCGGAGGAAGGUGGGGAUGACGUCAAGUCCUCAUGGCCC
rnacentral:rRNA from 1 species